AAAAAGGGCGCUCGUCAUUGCAUGUGAUUAUAUCGCAUAGCGAAGUUUGCAGGUUUCUGUGAACUUCGUGACAGUGCAGACGCAUUGCAGUAUUGCCGUUGAACAUGUGCAAAAUCCUUUAACAUAGAUUUUUUUUUAUCUGUGUCUGGGGGAAUGCGGACGACGGCAAUUACUUCAGUGGGGUAUGGCUUUGCAUAUCCAGUGCAUAAUUUUUGUAAAGUG
rnacentral:snRNA from 1 species